CGUAUACAAAGANAAGCGAAGCAGUGAUGUGGAGCGAAACUCAAAAAAAUAAGUCUCAGUUCGGAUUGAAGGCUGAAAUUCGCCUUCAUGAAGCCGGAAUUGCUAGUAAUCGCGAAUCAGCAUGUCGCGGUGAAUACGUUCCCGGGUCUUGUACACACCGCCCGUCACACCAUGGGAGUUGGCAACGCCCGAAGCCAGUGACCCAACCGAGAGGAGGGAGCUGUCGAAGGCGGGGCCGGUAACUGGGGUGAAGUCGUAACAAGGUACC
rnacentral:rRNA from 1 species